GCCUUCGUAGCUCAGGAGUUAGUGCACUGGUGUUGUAAACUAGGGGUCCGGGGUUCGAAUCUCUCAGAGGGCA
rnacentral:tRNA from 1 species